rnacentral:rRNA from 1 species
CAGGCCUAACACAUGCAAGUCGAGCGGUAACACAGGGAGCUUGCUCCCGGGUGACGAGCGGCGGACGGGUGAGUAAUGUCUGGGAAACUGCCUGAUGGAGGGGGAUAACUACUGGAAACGGUAGCUAAUACCGCAUAACGUCGCAAGACCAAAGAGGGGGACCUUCGGGCCUCUUGCCAUCAGAUGUGCCCAGAUGGGAUUAGCUAGUAGGUGGGGUAACGGCUCACCUAGGCGACGAUCCCUAGCUGGUCUGAGAGGAUGACCAGCCACACUGGAACUGAGACACGGUCCAGACUCCUACGGAAGGCAGCAGUGGGGAAUAUUGCACAAUGGGCGCAAGCCUGAUGCAGCCAUGCCGCGUGUAUGAAGAAGGCCUUCGGGUUGUAAAGUACUUUCAGCGGGGAGGAAGGGANUGAGGUUAAUAACCUCAUUCAUUGACGUUACCCGCAGAAGAAUCACGGCUAACUCCGUGCCAGCAGCCGCGGUAAU